UACGUAGGGGGCAAGCGUUGUCCGGAAUCAUUGGGCGUAAAGCGCGUGUAGGCGGCUCGGUAAGUCUGCUGUGAAAGUCCAGGGCUCAACCCUGGGAUGCCGGUGGAUACUGUCGAGCUCGAGUCCGGAAGAGGCGAGUGGAAUUCCUGGUGGAGCGGUGAAAUGCGCAGAUAUCAGGAGGAACACCAAUGGCGAAGGCAGCUCGCUGGGACGUGACUGACGCUGAGACGCGAAAGCGUGGGGAGCAAACAGG
rnacentral:rRNA from 1 species